rnacentral:rRNA from 1 species
UACGUAGGCAGCAAGCGUUGUUCGGAAUUACUGGGCGUAAAGAGUGUGUAGGCGGUGCUCUAAGUUUGGUGUGAAAUCUCCCGGCUUAACUGGGAGGGUGCGCCGAAAACUGGAGUGCUCGAGGGAUGGAGAGGUAAGCGGAAUUCCUGGUGUAGCGGUGAAAUGCGUAGAUAUCAGGAGGAACACCUGUGGUGUAGACAGCUUACUGGACAUCUUCUGACGCUGAGACACGAAAGCGUGGGUAGCAAACAGG